ACCUCUUCCUACAAAGUUCAACAAAAAUUUCAAAGUCGCAAUCCUCGAUGACGAGUUGUAUGAGCUUCAGAGUUCCGGACUGGGACUGUCUACCAUUUGGUUGGUGGAGAAUUAGUUGUGUCCCAUGCCAGCGACCGAGGGGUAGUAGGGUCUAAAGUGAACAGGUUGUCCAUGUGCCCUCUGAGUUUACAACUCCAGCACACUUGCGAGCGAAAGCUUUUGAUUGGUUCCUGGACCUUCGCCGAAGCGCGCGUGCCGUAUUAUUCAGUGGAGUCCCCCAAGAAGAACGCAGAAAGGGCAAGGAAAAGAAUGCUGGCCUCGCCCAGUAUGUGGAGGGGUUUAUUUUGUAGGCAGCGUGCUGCUUAUCAGAGCAUGCAGUUCCUUUUGGGUGACUAAUAACAUUGUCUUGGGAUAAAAGCACAUUGAGCUGUUUACAGGCGAGGACGGAAUAUAUAAAAGGACUGCUCUGCUGUGUGGCAGUACAGAGAGCAGCGUGGCCGAGGUAAAACACACAGCUCUUCUCAACUGCACUCGGGACUGAUAACUAACCUCAGCUCACAGCUCUGUGCAUUCAACCUUGAACUGUAGAGGGGUACUCUUUAAUAUCCUAAAGUAAAGGACGAGAAAAACUGCCCACCUUGAAGAUCUUGUUUUAAUUUCGAACAUGGCGUUUAACGUAUUACUUUCCCUGCUAACACUGGUGUCGGGACUACCCUUUGCAACAGGGUCCCCGCUAUCGGAAGGUGUAGUGACUUUUUCUCCCAUCUCCACCAUCGGCCGGACUUCACCUAUCCCCCGACGGCUUUUCCGUUCCAAGCGCUGUUCUUGCUCAUCUCUCUUGGACAAAGAAUGCAUCUACUUCUGUCAUUUGGACGUCAUUUGGAUUAACACUCCUGAGCAGAUUGUUCCCUAUGGACUCGACAGUUCUCGGGUCAAGCGGUCUGCAAAACACAACUUGGCAGAAAUGGUAAGGUCAAGGACAAGAUGUGAGUGCAGCAGUCAAGAGGAUGGUGUAUGUCAGCAGUUCUGCGAAGAUGGCCCGCAGGUAGCCAGGUUGAAGCCUGGCAGCAGCAAGCAUUUACCUACAUCGACAAAAUGGAUAAACAGAAUGAGGAAAGCAAGAAAAGAAGACAAGAAUAUACCAUUUUCUAUGGGUGGCUCUGUGACACACUGCAGGGACUGCAAACGUUGACAGGCUGUUAGUUAACAGAGGGAAAGAAAACAGCACGUGUUGGCUGCUACCACAGAACAGAUUACUAUUCUGUUCUGGCAAGGGACGAGGGAUUUACACUUCAUUGAGGAGCUUGUCAAAACUGGUGGAGUCUGAGCUGUAGCCUGGCCUUAUAACAAAAAGUACUGAACAGCAGAUUGGGAACUAUAGCAUGGCAUUUUCAAAAUGAAGCAAGCUUGAUUUAAAGUAAGCUAUGAUGGACAGUUCAGAAAUUGACAUUCCUAAACUGCAGCCUAGGUUUAUACCUACCAAAGGAGACUGGCCAAUUCUAGGAAGUUCAUGAAGAGAUGCUCUUUUGUAAAAAGUUAAAAACCAAUAUCAACGAAGAAUCAAUCUAUGAUGAUCUCAAAAUGUAUUCCAUUUAAGAACAUGAUUUCUUCUGCAACAGAUGGAGUACCGUAUGUGACAGGUCACCAUACUGGUUUAGUGACAUUUAUAAAAAAGAAAUUCCAAGUCUGUUUACAAUCAGUUGUGUAAUUCAUCGUAAACAUCUCAUAGUGAAAAAUUCAGCUAGCGACUUUUUUCAAGCAUGACUCUUGUAAUAUACGCUGUCCACAAAAUUAAAGCUCAUCUACUAAAUAGCAGAAUAUUCCACCAGUUAUGCCAAGAUAAUGAUGAAGUGUUUGAAUGCUUGCUUCUUCACACUGAAGUGCAUUGGCUGUCAAAAGGCUGCUGCUUAUAAUGUUUCUUUGAUCUUUUUAACACUGUGAUUGAAUUUUUGGUCAAAUUCAACAAGAGCUUGGGAAACAAGAUUGAACUUCUACGUGGUUAUGUGGCAUACCUAGCUGAUUUGAAUGACAAGAUGAACAUUCUAAAUAUGAAACUCCAGGAUGAGAAUUUCAAUUUAAUGCAGGCAAAAAGUGCAGUGUCCACUUUUAUCAGAAAAUUAGAAAUACAUAAGCAAAACAUUGGGAGAAGAAUGUUCUCACAGUUCCCUGCAUGGAAAGUAUGACACUCUCUUUCACAGAUGGUGAUUUGCAAGAGUACUGCUUACACCUGCAGUUACUGAAGAAGGAUUUCCAGAACGAUUUCAAGGAAUUGAAUAAUCUGGAAAUUCUGUACUGCAAAAUUAACCCAUUUCUAUGCAAGGUGGAGAGCUUGCAAGAAGAAAUGAUCAAAACUCAAUGAUGAAGAAGCAAAAAUGCUUUUUAAAAAUGUCAGCUCUUGUGGCAACACUGUCAUACGAAGUUUCUUAGUAUUUAGAGAGGAGCCAAACUGCUCUUCAGUGCAUUUCCAUCCUCCUAAUUUGUUGAAAGAAGCUUCAGUGCAGUGAACCACAUACUCACAAAAAACAGAAACUGCUUGGACAUUGUUACGCGCAGGGACUUUACGGCUUUUGCUGUCACAACUUGAACCAGAUAUUUUGAAUAAUUGAAGUCAGCAUCCAACAACCACUCAAAAUAAUUUCCUGCUCGGAAUCAAUAAAGUGCUUAUUAUUAAUAUUAUUAUUAUUAUUAUUUCAACUCUUGCUAAAAACCAUCAAGCUCAAGGAUCACAUUGAAGCUGCUGUACAGUGCACAGAUGAGCUUGACCUCCUGAGUGAAUCCAGCAGCUGCUGUUUUUACUUCAGAUUUCCAGCAUCUACAAUUGUCUUGAUCUUCAGUUGUUGAAUGUUGCAUGUGAGCUGAGAUCCUAUUGGUGAAGAGAGAAAGGCUUAACUCAAUUUGAGUCUUUGUGGAUUCAAAAUACUCACUGCUUGUUCCAUUUUAAAACUUCCUAUUGUAACUAUUUUAUGUUACCUCUUUCUCAUCUCCCAGUUUUCUUUUUGUUUUAUUAUAUCUUUCCUUCACCCAGUAGAGAGAAUAGAGUGAGAUGAGUAAAGUGGAGUCAGUUUAAAGACUGUUAUUUUGGUAUAAGAAGUAUCAAGCUGAAAUUAGUAGAUGUUACAAAACUUGGAAAUGAGGGAAAUGGGUUUGAGAAGGACCUAGAAUGUGUGGUUAACACAGGCAUGGGCAUUGAAAUUUAUUGCAAGCACUGUUAAUGUGCACAGGUGCUCUUUGGGAACAGGAAUCAGUAAAAUCUAUAUGGUUCUGUGUUCUGACAAAGGAACAGCAAACUGAAAUAAUAACUCUGUCUCACUUCCACAGAUGCUGUCUGAACUUCUGUUAUUCUUAGCACUUUUGUUUUCUUUCAACUUUCCAGCAUUCUUCAGUCUUUUGACUUCUAGAGAGAGUUUUCACAGUUGCUGCUCUUCCAAGAAUGCUCACAGUGAAGAAACUCAGCAAGAAUUCCACUCUGUUUAUUUUCACCUUCAUUUACAAAUGUUUCUACUUCCUGUAUGUUAAUCUCCCAGAGGAUGGAAUAAAAUGCAAAAUCUCCAAGUCAGCCAAAGAUCUGAAAAUAGAUUGGAGGACUGGUUGUGAAGAUAACAUUGUGAUUCUGGGACAGGAUAUAACCAGAUUGAAUGACUGAAUGAUACAAAUAGAGUUCAAUGUGUAAAGGUGGGAGGCUAUGCACUUAGGUAAGAAGAAUCAGAAGGUAGAUUAUUAUCUAAAUGGAGAGAAAGUGUAAAUGAAUGAUACCUAAAGACACCGAGGUGUUCCAGUGCUUGAAGUGCAAAGAGGUUUACAGGCAGGUUCAAUAAGUAGUUAAGAAUGCAAAAGGAGAUUUCAGAAUCAAGUUUAUUUUCACUGAUGCAUGUCAUUAAAUUUGUUGCUUUGUGACAGUGAUAUACUGCAAGACAAAAAACUUUAUUAUAAGUUAUAACUAAAUAAUGCAGUAUUGUGAGGAGUCCGAUAGUGUUCAGUUAUCUGGUGUGGUUGCUACGUAGUCUCCUCCCUGAAGGUAGCGGGACAAAUAAUUCAGUUAUCUGAUGGUGAAGGGGAAGAAGCUGUUCUUAGAACAAUGAGUGUGGGUCUUCAUGCUCUUGUGGUAGUAAUGAGAAAAGGUUAUUUAGACAACAUCCACAGCCCUACAUUCAUCAAUCUCUGACACCAUUUAAACACAUAAUUUAUUACUCAAUUAAAUAAUAGUUUGUCUUUUUUAUACAUUUUUAACUAUUCCCAUGAAACCAGCCAAUUAGGGUAGCCGCUAAAUUGGGCCACAAUGUACUGGUCCCAAUAUGUCCCAAUACAUCAGAAUCUACUGUACACAGUAUAUCGAGCCCAAAUGCAAGUAAUCUGACCUAACCAGUGUGUGACAGCUUCUAAACAACUAUAAACUUCUUGUCUUACCUUCAUCUAAAAACCAGUCCCUUGCUCUACUUCUUCAUGUGCUUGACCCAUCUCCUCUUGAGCACAUAAAAAUGUUCUCUCUGCUUCUACUCCAUCAAAUCCUUUCAGAGACUUAUUAAGCCACCACUGAUGGACACAGACCCAGACCAGAAAUAAGAUGCAUAAUUUUCAUCUUGGAUGCUUGGGUCCAGAACAGAGUACCUGAAGGCGCAGUGGAACUUUCAAGAAGUAUAGCAGGUGUGACUAAGAUGACUUGUGCAAAAUUUUUGUUUGCAUGUGGCAUACAGUGCUACUCCUUGAUUCCAGACCCUCCCCAUUAUUAUCUUUACUGCCAAAUGAAACAAUGAAUGCCCUUUUUACAACCUAAGAGCAGUAAGAUAUUUUCACAGGAAUUGUCUCAUGCUGGAUUGGUGUCAGCUAGGUGAGCAGCAAAAUAGAGAGCCUACAGAGAGAAGGUGGAAGAGCUCAAGGCCUCGUGCCAGGCAAAUAACCUUUUCCUUAAUGUUAAUAAAAGAAAGGAGUUGGUUAUUGAUGGUUGCACAGCUCAAAUCGCUCUUUACACUGGCAACACAAAUUAUAAGCAGUUUCAAACUUCUGGGAGUGCACAUCACACACAACCUCUCAUGGUUCUAGAACACAUUCUAUAUAGUCAAGAAAAUUCACCAAUGCCUCUACUUCCUGAGGAUGCUAAAGAAAGUUGGACUUUGCACAUUCAUACUUACAUAAUUCUACAGAUGUGCAGUAGAAAGCAUCCCAACAAGCUGCAUCACUGCUUGGUAUGGAAACAGCACAGGAAGACUUUACAAUGGGUAGUCAAAACUGCUCAACGUGUCACCACACCAGCCUACCCACCAUCAAGGACAUAUACGGAAAAGGGCCAGCAACAUCAUGAAGGAUCCCACCCACUCUGCUCAUGGACUGUUUGCCCACUCUCAUCAGGGAGGAGGCUACGUAGCAUCCACAUCAAGAUCACCAGACUCAAAAACAAUUACUUUCCCCAGAAAUAAGGCUGAUCAACACCUUCACCCACUUACUCCACCACUAAUUUAUUGUUUCCUGUCACUCAUUUAUGUACAGUCUUUAUGGACAUACACUCAAUCUACAGUAUGUAUAGAAGCUAUCUUCUCUAUUGAUAUUUAUUGUGUUUUUAUUAUUAUUAUUGUAUUCUUUAUCCUUUGUGUUGCUGCUUGUGAUGCAUCGGAUCUGGAGUAACAAUUAUUUCAUUCUACUUUACACUUGUGUACAGAAAAUGACGUUAAACAAUCUUGAAUCUUGAGUUAGACAGUUGCAAGAUAUGUGACAGUUUAUUUUCAAGAUAUUUUCAAAUCCUUGCAGAUCUUUUGUACACAUCAAUAUUUGGGUAGUAAACAGUUAUACUAAUAAUGUUAUUUAGAAAUUAUGUUAUAAAUCAAUUGUCUUUUUAAAAGAUGAAUAUUAAUAAUUUUGGAACAGGU